rnacentral:rRNA from 1 species
CACGUAGGCACCAAGCGUUGUCCGGAAUUAUUGGGCGUAAAGAGCUCGUAGGCGGUCUGUUGCGUCGGCUGUGAAAACCCGGGGCUCAACCCCGGGCCUGCAGCCGAUACGGGCAGACUAGAGUUCGGCAGGGGAGACUGGAAUUCCUGGUGUAGCGGUGAAAUGCGCAGAUAUCAGGAGGAACACCGGUGGCGAAGGCGGGUCUCUGGGCCGAUACUGACGCUGAGGAGCGAAAGCGUGGGGAGCGAACGGG